CUAAAAUGGCGACUGUAACUAAAAAAAGGGAAGUUGGCAGCGAGGGUUGGCGUUUUCAUGACAAGUGGAAAUUGGAGUAUUUUUUCAGGUAAAUACGAAACAACUGUGUCUGCCUAAUUUGCCAAUAGACUGUGGCUGUUUUCGGGAUUUUGCAGCUAUUGAAAAGGAGAUCACGCUUUUUUCCUCUUCUUUCUCCGUGGACUCUGAUGACGCUCCAGAACACCUGCAGCUGCAGCUGGAGCUCAUUGAGCUGCAGUGUGACGCCGAGUGUCACAGUCGGCACCAACAGCUCCCUCUUGUCAACUUUUACGACCAGCUGGAUAAAGGCAGGUUCCAAGAGAUUCGAACCUUUUGCUAAGAAAAUGCUGAGCUUAUUUGGCUCAACAUACUUGUGCGAGAAGACAUCCUCGGUUAUGAACACUAACAAGAACCGCGUGAGGACGAGACUAAGUGACUCUCACCUGCGUGACAUCUUGCGCAUCAAAACCACAGUUUUUGAGCCAGACCUGGCCAUCUCAGUAUCACCCUUCACAUUAGUGCAGGGAAGUUAUUUGUUUAGUCUUCUGAGGCGAGGGGGUGGUACAGGUCAACUGGGGAAGUUCAUCGAUGAAUUUGACACGCUACUGUCCACCAUCCCAGAUGAUGGAACUCCUCUUCUGGUCCUUGGUGAUUUCAACAUUCAUCUAGACAAGCCACAUGCAGGUGACUUUCUUGCUCUCCUUCCCGCAUUCGACCUCAAGCAGUUCAUCACACCAGCAAUCCACAAAGCCGG
ensembl:lncRNA